GGCCCAUUGGAGCAGUGGUUUAUCUCGCCUCCCUGUCGCGGGGGAGUCCAUGGGUGCAAAUCCCAGAUGGACCG
rnacentral:tRNA from 1 species